AAAGAGAUGGCUAAUUAUUCUUGUGAGUGUUGAGGGUGUUAUGUCUCCCCAAAAUUCUGAUGUUGAAAUCCUAACCCCCAGUGUGAUGGUAUUUGGAGACAGGGCCUUGGGAGAUAAUUUGUGUUAGAUGAGAUCAUAAGGAUGGGGCUCCCAUAAAGGGAUGAAUGCCCUUGUAAGAAGAGACGCUGUAGGAUGUGCUCUCCCUCUUUUUCUUUCUAACAUGAGGACACAGCAAGAAGGUGGCUGUCUACAAGACAGGAAAAGAGCCCUCACCAGGAACUGAUUCUGCCAGUGCCUUGAUCUUCAACAUCCCAGCCUCUGGAACUGUAAUAUGUGCAUGUGGGGAAAAAAAAGUUAAAGGCACAAGAGAAUAAAUGGUAAAAGUUGAAUCUCUCACCCUCAAGUCUCCCAGUUCCUUUCUCCAGAGUUAACUCCUGUGAACUUUUUUUGAAAAUCAUCCCAGACAUAUUUGAUGACAGCUGAACAGCUAUUACAGCACAGCCCAGCAGAAAGAAAAUGCAAUCCACGAAAAUGCAAUCCACAAUUGGAGGAAGACUUGCCUUCCUGUUACAGCUGCCUGGAUUGCUGGAGUCUGAUUCAUACCUAGCCAUGUAAGGGAAAGCUCAUCUUCUGCCUGGACAGUGUCUUGGCACUCCUGGAUGCCUGGCCCCUUGUGAAGUCAGCCUUUGACCAGAGAAUCCCUAAGCCAUGGAUUCUUUCUGGCUUUGGAAGAUGGGACAGAAGAUGUAGAUGGUUAACCAUCCCCCAAGGAUGGAGGAUCUCACUACCCUUCACACCCAGGGAUGACCUCAUCAUUAGCUCUAAUAUGAAGUCUAAUGCUUCCAGUUGCAUAAGUUGGGGCAAAGUACUUACUCUCUCUAGGGUUCACAUUUUUCAUGGUAAAUGAUGUCUAUGAUAGAGGGGUUACUGCUGGGACUAAAGACAGAAAACAGGCCAACGGCAUUCUCCAGUGGCUUACAGACAAGCAGUGCCUGAUGUAUUUUGGGUCCUCCAUAUCACUUUUUAAAAAAAUUAUGGUAAGAACACUUAACAUGAGAUCUGCCCACUUAAGAAAUGUCUAAGUGUACAACACAGUAUUGUUAUCUAUAGGUACAACGUUGUACCGCAGAUCUAUAGAACUUGCUCGUCUUGCCUAACUGCAACUUUAUGCCCUUUGAAUAGCAACACAUCAAUUUCCUCCCACUCUCAACCCCCGGCAACCACCUUUCUACUCUCGCUCCUGUGAGUUUGACUAUUUUAGAUGCCUCAUGCUACAUUUGUCUUUCUGUAACUGGCUUAUUUCACUAAACACAGUGUCAUCCAGGUUCAUCCAUUCUGCUGCAUAUUUCAUGGUUUCCUUUUUUGUUCAGGCUGAAUAAUAUUCUAUUGUAUGAAUAUACCAUAUUUUCUUUAUCCAUUUUUUUUUUUUUUUUUGUGAGAUAGAGCCUCACUCUGUCAACCCAGGCUGGAGAGUAGUGGUAUGAUCUCGGCUCACUGAAACCUCUGCCUACUGGGUUCAAGCAAUUCUCCUGCCUCAGCCUCCUAAGUAGCUGAAACUACAAGUGCACACCACCACAUCCAGCUAAUCUUUGUAUUUUUAGUAGAGAUGAGGUUUCACCAUGUUGGCCAGGCUAGUCUCAAACUCCUGACCUCAGGUGAUCCACCCAUCUCGACCUCCCAAAGUUCUGGAAUUACAGGCAUGAGCCACCACGCCCGGCUUCCUUCCACUCUUUCAGCAAUGGACAUUUAGGUUAUCUCUAUACCUUGGCUAUUGUGAGUAGUGAUGCAAUGAACACGGGAGAGCAAAUAUCUCUCUGAGGUCUUGAUUUUGAUGAUUUUGGAUAAAUACCCAGAAGUGGGAUUGCUUCCACUGGUAGUUCUAUUUUUAAUUUUUUUCGUUGUCCUCCACAGAUUUCUCUAACACAUGCUUCUAACUUCAAAUUUCUUUACUCAUAGCACGGAUUCCAGUACCGAUCCACUCUCAAUGCUGCCCAUUUCUGUAUUUUUCUGACAAUUUCCAAGUAUUUUAUGAAUAAGUAUCUCUUUUCUUGGCUAAUGGAUAGAACUGAAAUUGCUUUAUAACUACCAGUGGUGACUGUGAUGGGAAGGAUGACAGCUGAUGCUAAAAAAUUAACACUGAACUUCAGAGUGGUAGCAAAAAAAUGAGGGUUAUUUCAGAAACCACAAUUUAUAAACAACAGACUUCCUAACAGGCUAGAACAAUAAGAAAGUAAAAUUGUGGAUCCCCAUCCUUUCAGUGUUGGUUUGUUUUUGUUUUAUUAUAAUUAUAUAAUAAAUAUUACACUUUCAUUUUAUAUACAGAAAUGUGAAUAUUUAAAUUUUAUUAUAAUAGAAUCUUUAAUAAAAUCAACAAAUAUAGUACACUGGAACAAAUACACCUAUCUCAGAAAACACAUUGAGGGCAGAAAGAAUAUUCACUUAUAAGUGCAAUCAGUGCCUUCAAUUAUAGUUGAGUUCCAAAGAUAUAAAAUGUAAAAUGUAACUAUAUCAUAUAUGAUGGUUUGCUUCCUGUGAAAUCCACUCAUUAAUACCUUAAAGGCCUUCCCGUGAUCCUGUUUAAUAAUAUAUUCUUAAAAGGGUGUUAUUCUCUGCAACACACAUUUUUAAUUCUGGAUAUUUAAAAAAACAAACUCAACAUUUUUCUUGGCAUUUUUUGCAAAUGAAUUGGAGUUCAUUCAGACAUUCAAUUCAGUAAAAACAAAAAACACAUACAUUUCUGCAGAGCCACAGUUGAAGAGCAUGGGCUUAGGAGAGCAGACCCCCGGGUCUGGUCCCAGUUCUCCUGCCCCUCCCCAGCUUACUGUGUCACCUUGGCUGUCCCAAGAUGUGAGUUCCUCCUUGGAGAUGCAGUUCACAGCCAGAGUGAUCGCUAAGCUUCCUCCCUGCAUUAAAAUUCUAUUAUUCUAAGUCUUUCUCACUUCUCUGGAAUUUCCUGUGAUAUGGAUGCUUGCAAUUAUUACACCUCUGACAAUUGAUGCCAAUAAAAAAGCAUCUACAACAUCGGACAAUGA
rnacentral:lncRNA from 10 species